rnacentral:rRNA from 1 species
UACAGAGGGGGCAAGCGUUGUUCAGAAUUACUGGGCGUAAAGGGCGCGUAGGCGGCCUGUUAAGUCGAACGUGAAAUCCCCAGGCUCAACCUGGGAACUGCGUCCGAUACUGGCAGGCUUGAAUCCGGGAGAGGGAUGUGGAAUUCCAGGUGUAGCGGUGAAAUGCGUAGAUAUCUGGAGGAACACCGGUGGCGAAGGCGGCAUCCUGGACCGGUAUUGACGCUGAGGCGCGAAAGCCAGGGGAGCAAACGGG